GUCUAACAUCAGAGAUGAGCAAUUCAUGAUGCUUUUUCUUUUCUUUUUUUUUUUUUUCAGACAACUUCUUACUUUGUUGCCCAGGCUGAAGUGCAGUGAUGCGAUCACGGCUCACUGCAGCCUCGACCUCCCAGGCUCAAGCGAUCCUCCCACCUCAACAUCCCAAGUAGCUGGGACUCCAAACGCGUGCCACUAUGCCCGGCUAAGUUUUGUAUUUUUAGUAGAGAUGGAGUUUUGCCAUGUUGCCCCGGCUGGUCUCGGACUCCUGGGCUCAAGCAAUCUGCCUGCCUCUGUCUCCUGAAGUGUUGUGAUUACAGGCAUGAGCCACCGCACCUGGCCAAGAUGCUUUUUCUGUUUCUGAGAUACAAUGAACUAUAUCUUAAGAAUUCAUAAAGCCCUAAAAAGUAAAUAUUUACAACCAGAAAUCUUUCUGACAAAGAAACAAGAUUACUCAAAGUAAGUAGUAGUUUGGGCUCCCUGGAAAGAACCCAGAACUUAAGUGUCAGGAAAUGUGGAUAGUUCUGAAUGUGCCCCUGGCUGGUUGAUGACUCUGGGCAACUUAUGCAGUACCUCUAACUCAUGGUUUAUUUACCUGAAAAAUAAGUGGGUUGGCUAUGUCUGUGGUUUGAAAGGUGCUCUAUGAUGUCCCAGAUGUCUUAGCAGUGUAUCAUUGGCUGUUUUGGAGGCUGUCAGGGGUCCAGAUGGCUGCUCCCACUGAGCCUGCUUUUAACAGAGCUUUUCAGUUUGUAUUUCUUGUAUACACAAAGUAAUAUUAAAUAAAAAAAAUAUAAUCCAGCUAAGAAAGUUUGAGAAUACUGGCUUGAGAUUCAAAAUAAAAUAAACCAAAAAUUUUAGAAAUUAUAUUAGUCUAGAAAGAUAGUAUUGUGUCUCUUUGUCUUUUUAGUACCUAGCACAUAUCAGGUACUUGAUACAUAUUUAUCAUAUGAAUGCAAUGGUUGUAAUGAACAACUGGGAAGGAAAUGCAAAAGCAGAAGGCACCAUAUUUGUGUUGCUAUUCCUGGGUGUCAUUUCUAUGUAACUUGUGAUAACCAGUAGUAAAGAACAACAUGGACUAUGUUUAAUAGACAACAACUAAUUUUAUUGGAUUUGUGUACAUAAUCUGAAAUUUAGUCUAAGGACAAGCCAUAUUACUAUAAAUUCCAGGAAAUCUAGAGAGAAAAAAUGGGCAAUUUAGAACAGACUAGAAGAGUAACUCUUUCAGUUUGUCUGGAAAACCGAAUCUAAGGAAUAAGGUCAGUUUGCAGUUUCUUUCAAGUAGAAUUGGUGACUCUUGGAUGCAGUUUAUAAACACGUAACACAUUUUCCUUGCAUGGAAAUAUAUCUAUUCUAUGACCUCUUCUACAUGAAGAAAAGAUUUGAAAUUUUCUUCUCCAUUAAAUAAUGUUUUGUGUGCAUGUUGCAAAAAUAAGAGAGAAGCAAGAAUAACUCUAGCAGAUGCUUAAAGGUUUAAGAUUAAAGACACAUGUAAAUGUGAUUCAUAGUGGGUGUUCUGUGCACUUGAGUGAAUAUUCCCAAAUCACAGCUAGAAAAAUUUAGGAGUAAAUUGACUUAACUUAUGGUAAAUCAAUAGGGGUCCCUGAAUUGGAGGGAAACAGAUGAGCAAGAAAAAAAUUAUUUGACAGGACUCCACUAAGGAAAACAACAUUCAAGUAACAGAUGAGGUAUUCUACUGCCCAGAGGAAUUACCCAGCCUUUAGCAAGGCGAAGUCAGCCUCAACUGGCAGGAGGUUUGUUUUAAAACUGAAAUGAGAAAAAGGAUCUGGGCUUACAAAUGAUGGGAAGAUAUAUUAUCAACAGGGAAAAAAACCCCCAGAAAAUAGCAACUAACUUGUUUCCCCAGCACAACUGAAAGGAUGAAGAAGGAAAACAAUUUAAUGUACCCUGGUCAUGCAGUUACUUUCCUUUAUCCUUACUAACAGUGCUUGUCAAGAUGGUUCUGGAAACUGAAUAAAUUGUUAUUAACUAAAUUCUAAAAGCUUCAUAUAAUCAUCUGAUACAUACAUCACAUCAAUUUCAGCCUAGGCUCUCUAUGGUGGCAAAUUAUUUCAGCACUAAAUCAUGAAGGCUGGAUUCUUGAAGCCUGGCAGAGGCAAAUGUCUCAUUAAUGCUGAUCUGAGAGACAUCUGUGAUGAGCCUGAACAUCAGGCCAAUCUGCAGAGCUGAUCAGGGGCUGCUGAGUGGUUCUGAAGUGAGUCAGGCUGUGAAUGAAGACUCCACCAGAAUGAGGAGAAUUCCAUGCAUGGAGAUUCAAAUAAAGACAAAAGGGAGAUGCAACUAUGGAGGCUGAGAAGUCCCACCAUCGGAGCGCCUCUGCCCCGCCGCCCCAUCUGGGAUGUGAGGAGCGCCUCUGCCCGGCCGAGACCCCGUCUGGGAGGUGAGGAGCGUCUCUGCCCGGCCGCCCCGUCUGAGAAGUGAGGAGACCCUCUGCCUGGCAACCACCCCGUCUGAGAAGUGAGGAGCCCCUCCGCCCGGCAGCUGCCCCGUCUGAGAAGUGAGGAGCCUCUCCGCCCGGCAGCCACCCCAUCUGGGAAGUGAGGAGCGUCUCCGCCCGGCAGCCACCCCGUCCGGGAGGGAGGUGGGGGGGGGUCAGCCCCCCGCCCGGCCAGCCGCCCCAUCCGGGAGGGAGGUGGGGGGUCAGCCCCCCCGCCCGGCCAGCCGUGCCAUCCGGGAGGGAGGUGGGGGGGUCAGCCCCCCGCCUGGCCAGCCGUGCCGUCCGGGAGGGAGGUGGGGGGGUCAGCCCCCCGUCCGGCCAGCCGCCCCGUCCGGGAGGUGAGGGGCGCCUCUGCCCGGCCGCCCCUACUGGGAAGUGAGGAGCCCCUCAGCCCGGCCAGCCACCCCGUCCGGGAGGGAGAUGGGGGGGUCAGCCCCCCCACCCGGCCAGCCGCCCCGUCCGGGAGGGAGGUAGGGGGGUCAGCCCCCCGCCUGGCCAGCCGCCCCGUCCGGGAGGGAGGUGGGGGGGUCAGCCCUCCGCCCGGCCAGCCGCCCCGUCUGGGAGGUGAGGGGCGCCUCUGCCCAGCCGCCCCUACUGGGAAGUGAGG
rnacentral:lncRNA from 1 species